UACGAAGGGGGCUAGCGUUGCUCGGAAUCACUGGGCGUAAAGCGCACGUAGGCGGGUCUUUAAGUCAGGGGUGAAAUCCUGGAGCUCAACUCCAGAACUGCCUUUGAUACUGAGGAUCUUGAGUUCGGGAGAGGUGAGUGGAACUGCGAGUGUAGGGGUGAAAUUCGUAGAUAUUCGCAAGAACACCAGUGGCGAAGGCGGCUCACUGGCCCGAUACUGACGCUGAGGCACGAAAGCGUGGGGAGCAAACAGG
rnacentral:rRNA from 1 species